UGGAAACCAGGCACACAAGCGGCACAUAGGCACCCAGGGAGGCAACACACUCAUACACAGAAGUAAAAAUAAAAUCUAAAAAUAAAAGAGUAGAGGAGCUUGGAAGACAGCUCAGUUGUUGCUGUGCAAACGUCAAAGCCUGAGUCCAAGUCCCCAGCUCCCAUGUAAGGCACAGCUGUCACCCCAGUGCCACAGAGGAUAGAAACAAGAGGACAGCUGAGACUUGCUACCUGUUAACCCCAAGGCUUGCCCGAUCUUGGAUUCAGUGAAAGACCUUAUCUCACGAGAAUGAGGCAGAGAACAAGUGGGUGAGAGCAAGCACCUCACCGAGAUCCAAGCAUGUGUGCCACACAAGCACGCGAUGAACUUUGAUGCCUGACGUGUGAGCUAUGGAAAGGUGUAGGUCAGAGAAGAGUACUUGCCAGCUAUGUUCAAGGCUCCUGGCCAAAAAAAAAAAAGUUGAUAAGU
rnacentral:lncRNA from 1 species